UAUUAUAUUAUAGAUUUUAAAGUAAACGUAAUAUCGUCUGUUUUGGGUCUAAGGACUGUCUUUUCGUAAACCUUCUACCGGCGUAGUGUACGGUAAGUAUUUAGUAAUACAUUAUUUUAUAUAAAUACGUUGCUAAACCAUGCAAUGAUAUUCAUAUGAGGUUGUCAUUUGUCAUUUAUCGCAAAAGCAGUUUUAGGACCGAUUUAAGUGUUAAGAUUUACGGUUUAUAACAGUGGCAUAGUUUAACGAUUUGUAACGAGUGGUCAUAUAUACAUGUAACUACAAACAUCAACGGGGAGUUCACAACCUUUUGCUAGUUUAUUUAAAAAAAAAAAAUACUAUGCAUCGAAGCUUUUUUAAAAGUAUUAGAUUCGACUUGUUUACGUGUUAUUACAAAUACUUGAAGAGCAAUAGCUCAUAAGAAAGAUUUUUGUGAAUGCGAAGGGGGCAUAAUUUACUAUGCGGUUUUGUUAAUUAUUGAUGCCUCUUCACAUAUACGGAUUUUUCAUUCGAGGCCUUUUAUAUUGUCAUAUCGUAGUCUAUCGCAAGCAUCCGUAAUUUAGAACUAGAUCGUAAAAAAACAGUAAUAUAUCAAACAGCAAACCAACGAAAACCCCUUUAUACGUACAAGUACAAUGUACACCUAGCAUAGGACAUGCGCAUACAGAAUGUGAUGGGUUUGUACAGAGUACAACAAACUUUUACUAAAUUCUUUCAAAAGUACAAAAAUAUGGGUUAUACAUUUUGGCUGUACGUUUUAUACCCGUAAAACUCUUAUUACAAUCGGAAUUCUACUCUCCUCUAUUUUAUUGUGACGUUUAUAGAGCCUAUUAUUUCAUAUGCGAUCCAUGUUAUUAACUUAUGGAUUUUUUUAAUGCAGUUAUUCUGGAUUUUUAUCAUUUUUUUAAAAGCACCAUAUAUAUAUAUAUAUAUAUAUAUAUAUAUAUAUAUAUAUAUAUAUAUAUAUAUAUAGUAUAGUUAAAUAAUUUGAUAUGGUCAAUUAGAACUAACAUUAUUUUGCUUUUGAUUCGUCAAACUAAAUAUGUAUAAUUGCUAAACAGUUUUCAAAGCUUAUCGUCAUUUGUCGUGUCGAUACUAGGUACUUAUAAAAGUGUUUUGGGGACAUGCGUUGUUUACCCGAGUUAGUUGGCUUUGACCGAGCUUUCAUUUAUUUUGAAUCAUGGCAGGUUUAUCCCGGUCUAUUUGUAUAUACCAAAUUGAUUCCAGUAUACAUACUGAGUGAUCAUAUCUUUGAUUACUUUUUUUUUUAUUAUUACAGAAAACAAAACAAAGAUGUUGACGCUCAGAAGAUUUCUACGAGCUAUAUUUAUCUUGCCGUUUUCAGCAGGGCAUCCUCGUAACUAUCAAAUCAGCGCGGUUAUAUCCCAUGAUGGAAGCAUAUCCGGAUUGGUUUUCUUGGUAGGCAUUGUAGUAAUUCUCUGUGAGACUUUAGUAAUAUGUUCUGAUGGUACAUUCAGUCUUUUCACAACCACGAUGACUGUGACCACGUGUUUAGCAAUUUUUAUUUGUGUGUCCCUCAGUGUUUAUGCAUCUAUACAACCGGAGGUUACAGUCCGGAAGGAAGACUGGGAUAUAAGUCAUAAAAUCAUGCUAAGAUUUCUUUGGCUUUUCACACUUGCAAGUAUGACCUAUAGUGUCAUUUAUUUAGCUUAUCACAUUGAUUGCUUCAGAGGAUAUUUCGAUUUACUUAACGUUAGAGAGCGCAUAGUAUGUGAUUGCUUGCUUUUUAUCUUCCGUUUUGUUCAGACUGGAUUUCUUACACAGUUUUCCCACCGUUCGUUCGUUAACAAUCUUGGAUCAUAUUAUGGCUUACUCAUAUUGUUUCUUGCGAAUAUUUCAGUAAUAGUUAUUGAGUUUGUUCACGAACUACAAGAUAUCCGUGACUAUAGCGUUAAUAGUACUACCAAUUCAUCCCUAAUUUGCCUCACCAAUUCGACUACUGUUCAUGUCAUGCAGAGUGUUGAAAGCUACAUGGAUCCAACCGUACUAGAGUAUUCCUUGCUGGCAAUUCUGUUUGUGUCUGAGCUAUGGCCAAAGAGAUCGAACGACAAAAGGAAGUAUUCCUGCGUUUACGAUAGUAUGAAUACAGAGGAGAGUACAAGGUUGAUAUUAUCCGAGAGUAACGAGCACAUGAAUCGACAAAUGUCAAUUAAUUGUGUACCAAAUGAGCCACGUGACAGAACAUUAGCUUUUAUAGUAGUUGCAUCUGCAGUUCUUAUCAACACUCCGUGUAUAAUUCUAUUUGCACUUCGAAUAUACGGACCAGGAAAUCCAUCUGUAGAUAAAACAUUAAACAUUUACAACAGCACUGAAGUGACAGUUUUAUUAUUUGUACUUUUUAGAUGUUUUUAUCUUAUACAAACUGAUUGCAUGCCUACUGAAAAAAUAUACAAAUAUGUGUCAAAGGACUAUAUGAUUUUAGUUAGUUUUGUCGGCUCGUUGGUAUAUUAUACAAUGCGACUUAUAGCCUACGCAAAACUGUUUCACGACGAUAAUACGAAUGGCGUAAAGUUAUUCAGCUAUGUAAUUAUGAUUUUUGCAGUUUACUUGCAAACAGUCUUUAUUUUUCAAAUGAAGAGCUAUGAAAGAAUACGUUCGCCAAUAUCCAAUUGUAUGUCAAUUGAAUACGCAUGUCUUUUUAUGUCUAUGAAUAAUUUAAUUAUUUGGGGAACAGACUCAUUCCUCGCUUCAUCAAUAGUAUUCGCAACGGAUGCCCCAACUCUCCUUUAUGGAAAGCAAGUAUGGGUCACAUGUUAUUUCCUUUUAUUUCCAAUUGUCAUGUUCUAUCGCUUUAAAUGCUUUGUAGCGUUCUAUGGACUAUACCAUAAGCUGGUGAAACGAAAUGCUUGAUAUACAACUUAGGGAGCAACCAUUCAAUGUACAAAAAAGGAGGGGAGGGGAGGGGUUAUGGCUUCUCGUCCGAGUCAGAAAAGCACGAGUAUUUGGUUUUUAGUUUUUCGACAUUCACUAUUCAAAAUUUAAUCUAUAGGGUAAAGGGAAAAUCUUUGAUUCAGAUUAUAUUGUUUUGUCAUCUGCUUGAUCACAAUAUUUUUUUCGUCAAAUUGGGAAUCAUUUUUUAAUGAAAUAUAACACCCUCUCUCUCGAAGUUUAAUGGUCGUUUCCUUACUGGAUGAUUUUUAAUUUAGUCUUGACAUACAUGUAUGUAUACAAUAUAUUAAACUCGAUGUAUAUGA
rnacentral:lncRNA from 1 species